GAUGAACGCUGGCGGCGUGCUUAACACAUGCAAGUCGAACGGGAAACCUUUUAUUGAAGCUUCGGCAGAUUUAGCUGGUUUCUAGUGGCGGACGGGUGAGUAACGCGUGGGUAACCUGCCUUAUACAGGGGGAUAACAGUCAGAAAUGGCUGCUAAUACCGCAUAAGCGCACAGAGCUGCAUGGCUCAGUGUGAAAAACUCCGGUGGUAUAAGAUGGGCCCGCGUUGGAUUAGCUGGUUGGUGGGGUAACGGCCCACCAAGGCGACGAUCCAUAGCCGGCCGGAGAGGGUGAACGGCCACAUUGGGACUGAGACACGGCCCAGACUCCUACGGGAGGCAGCAGUGGGGAAUAUUGCACAAUGGGGGAAACCCUGAUGCAGCGACGCCGCGUGAAGGAAGAAGUAUCUCGGUAUGUAAACUUCUAUCAGCAGGGAAGAUAAUGACGGUACCUGACUAAGAAGCCCCGGCUAACUACGUG
rnacentral:rRNA from 1 species